GCACUACAUUGACAGUAUCUUCUAAUAUAUUUCUGUUCCUAGGUAAGAUGCAUAUGUACAUCUUCUACUUUUACUUCUGGCACAAAAUAUAGUACUUUGCCCCUCUAUUGAGGUCUUCACUUCUGUUUCUGUUCCUGAUCAAAGUUUUAGGUCAGUGAAGACUAACAAAUGGGUGACACACAAGUGAAAGGCACACGUGGCCUUGGAUUACUUCUGUAUGGAUGUGCCGCGCUGCUUGCAUGUUGGCAUACUUAUGGUAACGUAUACGAGGGCCAUGCAUGGAUACUACUCCAAAGUAAAAGCAUUAGCAAAAAGCCUUAAAACAGCUGCAGCAGGCCUUUGAGAUCCCAUAACACCUUCUUAAAGUAAGGCUAGUCUCUGUGAGAGGACAAACACUUUCCUACUACUAUUUUAUUUUUAUUAAAUAAAAUUAAAUGUUGCUGUAGGCUGAAAGCUUUGGUAUCAUCUCCUGAAGUGAGCUCUACAAAGGCUGGCCCCAGAAUAUUGCCUGCUUUCCGUAAUUGCCACUGCUUAUUACAACUGAGUCAUUCAGAAGAGCGUGCACAACAAAUGUCCGCGGUAUUCAGAAGGUGCACAAAGUCUAACGUUUGUUGUUUGUACUUUUUAAUAGUUAAUGUAACCCUAUCAAGCUGGGUGGUGGGCUUUUGGCGGGGAGAGUGGGAGGAACACCACACCGCGCUUUAAAGCUUCACUAACAAAGAACUUUACUCAAGGAGGAGACGUUAAUAAGUAAUGAAACAAAGGAUCUGUUAUAGAGAUUAAAUGUGCAUGUGUCCAAGUACAAAGUUCGUGUGGCAAAGUGCAGCUGUUGCUCCGCUCAUGGCCCUCCACAGCCUCCGGACCUUGGGUUCAGAGUCUGCCUGCCUUCCUGUCACAGGGAUGGCUGGGGCACGGCCUGGACGAAGUUCGAAGUUCAGUGUCUGGAGGCCUGCUGGCUCUGUCUGCUCACUGUCUGGCACCGCAGAGAUGAGCCAACGCAGACAGGUAGUUUCAGAAUCAUUUCACCUGCUGCUGAUCUGAACCAGGAACCAGACCCUGGAGUAGGACUGUGUGCUGGUACUGGUUGGCUGCAGAUCUACUGGGAUCUUAGCACAGACAGAGAGCUAGUAGAAAUGAAAACCAGCAUCAAGCCAAUGAAUAAUUCUACAUACAGGCAGCUUUGGAAUGCUGAAUACGAACAGGGCCAAAAUGGAGCCCUACAGAGCACAAGAAAUAAAUGCUGUAGGAGAAGGACACAAAUUACCCUUGAAAAUAUAAUGCAGGUAACUGUUGGAUAAAUAUGAUUUAAGCCAAUUUAGAACUGUGCCAAAAAGGAAGAUAAAGUCCCUCAGGCAUUCAAGAAGAACAUUAAGAUCUAGCAAAAUGAGAAUAGCUGUAGAAUGAGAACCUGUCUUUAGGAGAAGGUUACAUCUCAUUGCUGUGUUGCUGAAAAUUUUAAAUACAGAAAAAUCACCUAAAAUAAAGAAUUUUAUUCUGUACUCA
rnacentral:lncRNA from 1 species